CCCUUAGACGUUCUGGGCCGCACGCGCGCUACACUGACCAGUGCAACAAGCAUCCGUCCUUGGCCGACAGGCUCGGGCAAUCUUUGAACGCUGGUCGUGAUGGGGAUAGACUUUUGCAAUUUUUGGUCUUCAACGAGGAAUUCCUAGUAAACGCAAGUCAUCAACUUGCAUUGAUUACGUCCCUGCCCUUUGUACACACCGCCCGUCGCACCUACCGAUUGAGUGAUCCGGUGAAUAAUUCGGACUGCAGCACUGCUUGGUCUCCAGGCUUUGCAGCGGAAAGUUUAGUGAACCUUAUCACUUAGAGGAAGGAGAAGUCGUANCA
rnacentral:rRNA from 1 species